GUGCAGCAGUCGCGAAUUUUUCUCAAUGGGGGAAACCCUGAAGGAGCGACGCCGCGUGGAGGAUGAAGGCUUUCGGGUUGUAAACUCCUGUCAUUUGAGAACAAGUGCUAGUAACUAACUACUGCUAGCUUGAUAGUAUCAGAAGAGGAAGGGACGGCUAACUCUGUGCCAGCAGCCGCGGUAAUACAGAGGUCCCAAGCGUUGUUCGGAUUCAUUGGGCGUAAAGGGUGCGUAGGUGGCGCCGUAAGUGGGGUGUGAAAUUUCGGAGCUCAACUCCGAAACUGCAUUCCAUACUGCGGUGCUUGAGGACUGGAGAGGAGACUGGAAUUUACGGUGUAGCAGUGAAAUGCGUAGAGAUCGUAAGGAAGACCAGUGGCGAAGGCGGGUCUCUGGACAGUUCCUGACACUGAGGCACGAAGGCUAGGGGAGCAAACGGGAUUAGAUACCCCU
rnacentral:rRNA from 1 species